rnacentral:rRNA from 2 species
UGUGACCUCAAAUCAGGUAGGACUACCCGCUGAACU